rnacentral:miRNA from 1 species
AGCACGGUAGGGAAGGAAGCUC